rnacentral:rRNA from 1 species
AUCCCCCGUUAAGGAACUCGGCAAUCUAACCCCGUACCUUCGGAAGAAGGGGUGCCCCAUACCGGUUGAGAGGUUCGCCCUCAAAAGCUGGCAGGGGCCGCAGAGAAAUGGCUCUGGCGACUGUUUAAUAAAAACACAGGACUCUGCUAAGCCGCAAGGCGAUGUAUAGGGUCUGACGCCUGCCCAGUGCCGGAAGGUUAAGGGGAGGGGUCAGCUUGGAAAGCGAUUUUCAGGCGAAGCUCUGAACCGAAGCCCCGGUAAACGGCGGCCGUAACUAUAACGGUCCUAAGGUAGCGAAAUUCCUUGUCGGGUAAGUUCCGACCCGCAUGAACGGCGCAACGACUGGAGCGCUGUCUCAACGGGGAGCUCGGCGAAGUUUCAUUACAAGUGCAGAUGCUUGUUACCCGCGACUAGACGGAAAGACCCCGUGAACCUUUACUGUAACCUGAUAUUGAAUCCGGAUAUACCCUGUGCAGGAUAGGUGGGAGGCGGUGAACCGGGAGCGCUAGCUUCCGAGGAGCCAUCCUUGAGAUACCACCCUUGGCCUAUCCAGGUUCUAACCCGCUUUGGUGAAUCCCAAAGGGGAACAGUGUCAGGCGGGCAGUUUGACUGGGGCGGUCGCCUCCUAAAAUGUAACGGAGGCGCCCUAAGGUUCCCUCAGCACGUUUGGAAAUCGUGCGUCGAGUGUAAGGGCAGAAGGGAGCCUGACUGCGAGAGGGACACUUCAAGCAGAGACGAAAGUCGGGCCUAGUGAUCCGGUGGUUCUGAGUGGAAGGGCCAUCGUUCAUCGGAUAAAAGGUACUCUGGGGAUAACAGGCUGGUCUCCUCCAAGAGUCCACAUCGACGAGGAGGAUCGGCACCUCGAUGUCGGCUCGUCGCAUCCUGGGGCUGAAGUAGGUCCCAAGGGUUGGGCUGUUCGCCCAUUAAAGCGGUACGUGAGCUGGGUUUAGAACGUCGUGAGACAGUUCGGUCCCUAUCUGUCGCGGGCGGAGGAUAUUUGCGGGGAGCUGCCCCUAGUACGAGAGGACCGGGAUGGACGAACCUCCAGUGUUCCAGUUGUCCUGCCAGGGGCAUUGCUGGGUAGCUGUGUUCGGAAGGGAGAAGCGCUGAAAGCAUCUAAGCGCGAAGCCCACCCCAAGAUCAGAUAUCCCACUGGGGAACCAGGUAAGACCCCGGGAAGAUGACCCGGUUGAUAGGCUCCAAGUGUAAGGAUGGUAACAUCUUGAGCUGAGGAGUACUAAUCGGUCGAGGACUUGACCG